UAGUCUUCUGAAUUCUGAAUCCCUCCGUGAGGUUAUGAAUCUCUGGAUGGACAAAGACCAGAGACAGCCCUGGACUAUGUACAUAUUUCUCUUUGUUUUGAAAUGUCAUGUGUAUGAAAAGUAUUUGAUUACUGAUGGGUUUUAAAACUUUUAUGGCUUCUGCUCCAUGAUCUAAGGCUGCAGAAUUUGGCUUUAACAUUGCAGGAAGUUGGGAGGUACUUGCCUGUACAAACUCAGAGUCCAGCUGACUUCAUUGAGUCUGCAUGGGCAGCCACUGAGCCACACACCUUCAAUCCUGGAAGGAUUCACUCCCAGACAAGAAGAAAAAUGGUGAAAAUCCGAGAUCAUCAAGGUGUUGGCCAGAUCAGAUACAAAUGACAAUAAUUUGUGCCAGGUGAUUGAAGAGAAACUUUGCAGUUUUCUUGCCUGAUUCAUGUUUCCAAGACUAGCCCUGGAUUUGCCUCUGUGUUUCUGACUAGUUUUCCUGUCAGCUUCCAAGGGAAGAUGCAAACCUGGUGCUCAAACCUGAACAAACAAAGCACCCUCACAGCAGUCAGGGGUUUGGGGCCAAUCCCUGCAGCAGCUGUGCAGUUUGGCUGCUGAAGAAGUGAUGAAAGCUCUGAGGAACAGCAAAAGAUAUUAAGAAUUGUUCAGAUUUUAGGCAGUUUCAAAGUCUCACUCUUGCUCUCAAAUAGUACAAUAAUUUCAGCAGCACAUUAAAUUUGGAAUCAAUGACCUAUGGUAACUUACUCAUGUCAAGAUACAUUACCAGGCACCACACAGAGGGCUCGGGAAAUAAAAGAAAAAAAGACUA